rnacentral:lncRNA from 13 species
GUGGGAUCCGACAUGAGAUCAGAGGUGGAGUCCAGAGACCCCAUCAGGCACCCCGAAUUUCCUCUUCCAAUGGAAGCCUAAGCAGAAGACCACUUACAUGUGGAGGCAAUGAGGGUUUUGGGGUACAUGUGAAGAACAUGCAAGAUUGCUGCACAGGUCCAUACAUGGCAGUGUGAUUUUCUGCCUUCCUUCUUUAAGAAGCCUGACAGCCCAGAGCCAGGCGCGAGUCAAGACACCUCACCAGUGCACAUACACGCGUCACAAUUGGCUAUUCAGGUCAUAGUGACAUUCAUCAUCGCUCAGUGAUAGUUUGCUAAGACAUUACAAAGGAGGAGCCCUCUGUGGCAGCCUGUAAAAAAUGGGGAUCAGGCCCCUCCUCACCAGGACAUCCACAGUAUAUUCUUCAGAGGCCAGGAUUUCCUGAAGGUGGGACAAAAAGAGGAGACAUCAUGCAGAGGGAAUUCUUGGGAAGCAACGCAGAAUCCCAGUCUCAGGCCAGUGAUGACAGGAUACAGGGCCUCCAGGAGUGAGGGAUCUUCUGCUUUGGCUCCCAGCAGAAGAGGAGAUUCAGGGCACCUGAUGGGCUCCUCGGACUCCACAUCGUUUCUUAUGUUGGAUCCCACCUGGGUAAGCGGGAAUGGAAUUACAGUGGAGAGAGGAUGGAAGGGCCACACUCUGGCACUGAGAGGUCCCAUGGGACCCAAGGCAUGGUGUCUCCACCCUGUCACCCAGCAGGUUUCCUGGAGGCAACUUCCCUUUCGCCCAGUGAAAACCAAUCCCUUUGGCCCGCUCCAGGCAUCCAUGGAAGCCAAAAGAUUCAGUGCUUCAAGACACUUUCCCCAGGAGCAGAGGAGGCAGAUGUCACUCAAGAAUGAGAGAGGAAAGGCAGGAGACUUGCAACACCACCUUGCAGAGAGGGCGAAGGCCAGCCAUCCAGUGGGACAUGGAGACCAAGAGAGCAUCCCUGUCCCACACGGGUUUGGAAGCACAGCUCUACAGUCAUUGCACCUGCCCAAUCCUCCAGAAACACCUUUGGAGGGGGAAACAGACAUGAAACACAUCCCCACAAGUUUUCCCCCUGCUGUACUGGUGAGUGUUCUCUAUUGAAGACACUGAGCCAGACCAAGAAGUCUCAAGGCUUCUCAGAAACUGAGCUGACAGAGAAAGAGGGAGGACAGAGCCUAUGCCAGAGUCCAGGCCAAAUACAGCAAAAUGCCACCUCCAUGGGCAUUGGGUACAAUGGUGCCCAUUGUGCAUUGCAUUAUCUUGCCUUACCAUGGUGCACGUGAGGUCUUGCCUUGCCAUGCCUUACCAUGGUACCCAUGGUGUAUUAUUUGCCUUGCCUUAUCAUAUUACCCAUGGCCCUUUGACUUUCCUUGCCUUGCCUUAACUUAGUGCCCAUAUUGCCUAGCUGUGCCUUUUCAUGGUGCCCAUGGUGCCAGGCCUUACCUUUCCAUGAAUUACCACUGUGCCCAUUGUGCCUUUCCUUGCCUAACCUUGCCUUGUCUUGCCUUACCAUGGUGCCCAUGGUUACUUACCUUGCCUUGCCUUUCAUUGCUUGUCUUGUAUUACCAUGAUAACCAUGGUGCCUAGCACCACCUUGCAUUGCUUACCAGGCUGCCCAUGUUGCCUUGCUUUGCCUUGCCUUGCCUUAACAUGGGGCCCUAGGUGCCUUACAUUGCUGUGCUUGCUCUGCCUAACUAUAGUUCCCAUGGUGCCUUGCCUUGCUUGCCAUGGUGCCCAAGGUGCCUUGCCUUUCAUUGCCUUGCCUUACCUUGGGGCCUACGUUGCCUUCCAUGUUUUCCUUCCCUUACCAUGGUGCCCAAGGUGCCAUAGCUCACCUUUUCGUACCAUGGUGACCAUGGUGACUUCCCUUGUCUUGCCUUACCAUGGUGUUCAUGGUGCCUUGCCUUACCUUGCCUUACAAUGUUGCCCAGAGUGACUUACCUUGCCUUACUUUGCCUUACCAUUUUGCCCACGGUGCCUUGCCUUGCCUUACAAUGGUGCCAGUGGUGUCUUGCCUUGCCUUACCAUGGUGCAUAUGAUGACUUGCCUUUCUUAACCAUGGUGCCCAUGGUGCUUUUCCUUACCUUACCAUGGUGCCCAG